GAUAAACGCUGGCGGCGUGCCUAACACAUGCAAGUCGAACGUCCUCUCCGUCGCAAGACGGGGAGGCAGUGGCGGACGGGUGAGUAGCACAUGGGUCACCUGCCUUCCAGUGAGGAAUACCGGCGAGAAAUCGCCGACAAUGCCGCAUAGGCUCACCCUCCCGCCUGGGAGGACGAGCAAAGCUCCGCAAGGGGCGCUGGAAGAGGGGCCCGUGGCCGAUUAGCUAGNGGUGGGGUAAGAGCCUACCAAGGCGACGAUCGGUAGCUGGUCUGAGAGGACGAUCAGCCA
rnacentral:rRNA from 1 species